rnacentral:lncRNA from 1 species
UGCUCAUCCUUUCUUUAUCUUAAUGGGAAAUCAUUCUGCUUGAUGCAAAGCAAAAGCAAAACAUUAUAUGAAAUUUAUCUUAAAUAUUUCUCUGUGGAAGGAAGAUGUCAUCUCUCUCUCCAAAUGAUAAAUUGAGAAAAAGAGUUUCUGAAUGGAAAACCAGAAAAAGUCCCUCUCUCCAAACACUUACCAGCUUCCCAUUUAUUCAUAAAGUAGAGGAUUCAGCAGACCAGAACCAGGAACAUUUCUUCUUCUUGCCUCUCUCUGAAGUUUCAGCUUCUACUAGCAAUAGGAAGCGAGUAGGGAUAUUAUUUUAUCCUCCAUGUAGCUGACCUAUUUCUGGGGAAGAGGCUGUGAUAGGUGAGAGACAUUCUCAUCUCCUGGUGGCCUCAGCAGUCUACUUCAGCAGCACACAGCAGCAUACAGCAAGUCACAAAGCAGGUAUUUACAAUGCAGUUUGCAUCCCUUUGUUAAUCACACUUUUCCUUCCUCUCAUCUCAU